rnacentral:rRNA from 1 species
UACGGAGGGGGCUAGCGUUGUUCGGAAUUACUGGGCGUAAAGCGCACGUAGGCGGCUUUGUAAGUUAGAGGUGAAAGCCCGGAGCUCAACUCCGGAAUUGCCUUUAAGACUGCAUCGCUAGAAUUGUGGAGAGGUGAGUGGAAUUCCGAGUGUAGAGGUGGAAUUCGUAGAUAUUCGGAAGAACACCAGUGGCGAAGGCGACUCACUGGACACAUAUUGACGCUGAGGUGCGAAAGCGUGGGGAGCAAACAGG